rfam:Triticum aestivum genome assembly, contig: Triticum_aestivum_CS42_TGACv1_scaffold_658168_T_5BL-0.396262_5DL-0.262604
CGAUUACUCCCUCCGUCCGGAAAUACUUGUCGGAGAAAUGCUGAAAAAUGAAUGUAUCUAGAAUUAAAAUACAUCUAGAUACAUCCAUUCCUUCGACGAGUACUUCCGGACGGAGGGAGUACUAA